CCAGACUCCUACGGGAGGCAGCAGUGGGGGAUAUUGCACAAUGGAGGAAACUCUGAUGCAGCGACGCCGCGUGAGGGAAGACCGUCUUCGGAUUGUAAACCUCUGUCUUUGGGGAAGAAAAUGACGGUACCCAAAGAGGAAGCUCCGGCUAACUACGUGCCAGCAGCCGCGGUAAUACGUAGGGAGCGAGCGUUGUCCGGAUUUAUUGGGUUUAAAGGGUGCGCAGGCGGGAGCACAAGUCAGCGGUAAAAGUCGGGGGCCUCACCCCGGCUCCGCCGUUGAAACUGUGUCCCUUGAGUGCGCGAAGGGUAGGCGGAAUGCGUGGUGUAGCGGUGAAAUGC
rnacentral:rRNA from 1 species